rnacentral:rRNA from 1 species
CGAUGAUACGCGAGAAACCUUACCAGGGCUUGACAUAUACAGGAAUGUUGUAGAGAUACAGCAGCCGCUUGCGGUCUGUAUACAGGUGCUGCAUGGCUGUCGUCAGCUCGUGCUGUGAAGUGUGGGUUAAGUCCCGCAACGAGCGCAACCCUAUCAUCUGUUGCCAGCAUUUAAGGUGGGGACUCAGAUUGAGACUGCCGGUGACAAACCGGAGGAAGGUGGGGACGACGUCAAGUCAUCAUGGCCCUUAUGUCCUGGGCUACACACGUGCUACAAUGGCCGGUACAGAGUGAAGCGAAACCGCGAGGUGAAGCAAAACGCAGAAAGCCGGUCUCAGUACGGAUUGGAGUCUGAAACUCGACUUCAUGAAGUUGGAAUCGCUAGUAAUCGCGCAUCAGCAUGGCGCGGUGAAUACGUUCCCGGGCCUU